rnacentral:tRNA from 1 species
GCCGGGGUGGCGGAAUUGGUAGACGCAAGGGACUUAAAAUCCCUCGGUGUUACUGCACCGUGCCGGUUCAAGUCCGGCUCCCGGCA